CUCAGGGAAACUUGAGCUAAUACCGGAUACGGUGCGAGAGCAGAAAGAUUUAUCGCCGAAAGAUCGGCCCGCGUCCGAUUAGCUUGUUGGUGAGGUAACGGCUCACCAAGGCGACGAUCGGUAGCUGGUCUGAGAGGAUGAUCAGCCACACUGGGACUGAGACACGGCCCAGACUCCUACGGGAGGCAGCAGUGGGGAAUAUUGGACAAUGGGCGCAAGCCUGAUCCAGCCAUGCCGCGUGAGUGAUGACGGCCUUAGGGUUGUAAAGCUCUUUCGCCAGGGACGAUAAUGACGGUACCUGGAUAAGAAGCCCCGGCUAACUUCGUG
rnacentral:rRNA from 1 species